UUUAAUUCAAAAUCUCAAACAAGAAAAUAACGCCACAAUUAUUUCACAGAAAAAUCCCAUCAAAAUCUCACAAUUAAGCUCAAACAAGAAAAGAACCCCACAAUCUUUAACAGAAAAAGUUGUAAAUAUGUCACUCAAUUAAAAAGUUAGUACAUAUGGGAAUAGAGUGCUUCAAAGUCGAAUUUUCUAUAUAUUAACAAGAAACAAAUAUAAAUUGAUUCAGACAUAUAUUUCAGAACGAACUCUCUCAUAUCACAGUUAACAUCAUUUAAAUUCUAAUUCCGCCACUUACGUCUCCUAUUUUCCUCCACCGCCAUCCAUGCCAUGUAUAUAAGCAGUGGCGAUGAUCGCAGCACCAACUCUCGUGUCAUUGCUACCAGGGGCAUAUACAAAAAAUUUCGUAAGUGAUAUCGUAUUUACAUAAAAAAAAAAUAUAAGUAGUACUAUUUAAUACUCUCUCCGUUUCAAUUUAUGUGAACUCAUUUAACUGGGUACGAAGUUUAAGAAAAGAUAGAAGACUUUUGAACUUGUGGUGUAAAAUGAGGUAUAUAAAUUUUGUGUGGCUAUAAAUCAUUGUAUAAAGGUAUAUUGUUUCCAAAUAAGGAAAGAGGUCAUUUUUUGGCACGGACCAAAAAAAAAAUAGGUUCACAUAAAUUAAAACAGAGGGAGUAGCAUUUUUUCCACAAGCUGAAGAGCCUUGGUGCAAUGGUUUAGUUGAAGAUUAUUGCUAAGGGAGGUGUAGGUUUAAUUCUCCUCAGCCUCAAUAUUUUUAAGCAAAAAUGUUCAAUCAAAGAUGUUUUCUAUUUUAUAUUUAUAUUUAUUAUUAUUAUUAUAUUGAAAAGCGAAGAUGGUCCACCAUCUGAGGGCAUUUUUGACUUUUCAUAGCUUAUAAUAGACGUGGCCACUCAUCGAACUCUCAAAUUCUUUAUUUUUCUUCUUCAUCUAGAACUAGAACUAGAAUUUUCCCUCACUUCAGUUCCCCAUCUCUAGCAUCUUCGUUGUCUUCUUUGUUGGGUCUCACAAUGUUCAUGUUAGUAUUUACUCUCUUUUUAAUUUGUUUUUCAUUUUUUGUUGCUUGUUGCUUGUUGCAGUGGAGUUUUGCUUCUUUUUCCCCCUUUAUUUGUUAUGCGUAUUUUAUAUUUCUUUUAGUUUUCUCUUCUUUUGUUUUCCUUCAUCAUUACCUAGUUGGUGUUGUUGCUUUCUUUCCAUUGUCGCUUUUCUUAACUUUUUUGUAUUAGGAAAAAUUGCAUUUAUAUAUGCAAGUGACAUAUUGAGACAUGUGGACUGAUCAAAUAGUCAAAGAAUUAUAAUUAGUCAAGCGGCACGGGUAGCAGUAGAAACGAGCAAAGGCAAAUAAAGAGGCGGGGGAGGACAUUUGAAGGAUUCAGCGCCCGUACCUAUUUAAAUCAUUUAUCAAAAGGAAUGGAUCUGACCAUAAUAAAGAGCGCAGAUACGGAAUUCGACAGGCAUUAAAUACUGGAUACGUUAGAGAAUUUGUAUUGAUUACAACGAUUGUGUAACGUAGCAUUGAAUGUCUUUAAUUAUUCAUAAUAGCCUCGUUAUGAUUUGGAAGAAAGGCAUAUCUUCAAGAUACCUAUAAAAGGGAGGAAUCUGGUCACUUGUAAAAGCAAGAAACAAUCGGAAUAUACUUUGAUUCACUUGUUUUUCUCCUGAUUACACUCUGUUUACUCUAAAUUACUUUCUUCUACAUAUUCUUUUGAUUAUCAGUAACCUGCGUUCUUCUAAAUUCUAACUUUGACUGAAAGUCUAUUUUUUGGUUAAACAAAUUGGUUCUGUUACCGGGAAUCUGAUAAUCUAUUUUCUUUUCACUUGAUCUUCCUUGUUACAUCAAUUAUGUCGAAUAACAAUGACAACACCCCAGGAAACCAAGAGAACCAACAAAGUCAGGGAGGCCCACAAAAUAUUAACAUUCAAGUUCCUACUUCGCAGGACUCUCCACGGCAAUCUCUUGAGGGUACUCUUGAUGGAUCUCAAAUAAACGAGUAUGCUCAAUUUGAAAAUGCUGAAACUGUUGAUGAAGCUUUGCAGAAAUUAAUUACUGCUCAGGUCAACAA
rnacentral:lncRNA from 1 species